UACGUAGGGGGCAAGCGUUAUCCGGAAUUACUGGGUGUAAAGGGAGCGUAGACGGUAAUGUAAGUCUGGAGUGAAAGGCGGGGGCCCAACCCCCGGACUGCUCUGGAAACUAUGUUACUAGAGUGCAGGAGAGGUAAGCGGAAUUCCUAGUGUAGCGGUGAAAUGCGUAGAUAUUAGGAGGAACACCAGUGGCGAAGGCGGCUUACUGGACUGUAACUGACGCUCAGGCACGAAAGCGUGGGUAUCGAACAGG
rnacentral:rRNA from 1 species